CCGAGGAGUAAAGCUAACUUGAAAAAAAAAAAACCCAACAAGCUACAUACAGUUGAUGACAUUAUUUAUUCUUUAUAUGUGCUUAAAUGUGCUUUGUGUAAAAUCUUGUUCUAUAAAAAUCAUUGACUUUGCUGGUUACUAUUGCUUGGGUGGAGCACUAAUGUUAUGCUCUUCGACAGUUUAGUAGAAGAGUCUAGUUGUACUGGCAUCCAAGAGGGAAGCCACCCAUCUGUUGGAUGCUGUCAUUGAAAUUCUGCAAAUAGGGAGAGAAGCAGGCAUUCCAGGAUGGUGGUGUUGCCAGCUUUUUCAGUUGCUGUAGGCAUUCUUAGCUCUGAUUGGGGUGAGCAAUGUCUGUGCUGCCUGAGUGCUGUGUUCCUAUUUCCUCAGGUUACUUCUCCAUGAACACUGCACCCAUGAUGUCUGAUUAUCGACAGACAUGCCACCCUCAAUGGAGAUGCACCAUCUUCUGUUCCCGUCAGCAUACACUCCGUUUCUACAUGUUGGCACUUUGAGCUGGAAUCCACUGAGUGGCUCUCCUGGUCCGGACAUCAGGCUUCAAGUGGCCUGGUCGGGAAUGUAAGUCAC
rnacentral:lncRNA from 1 species